GUUACAUUUUAAGUGUUUUAAAAUUUUAGAAUUUUAACUCACUGUUUAUACACUGUCCCUUUUCCCCUGUCCCUGUUUUAGAUCUAGUUUUAUGUUCACUUUUGAACCUUUUUAGAGAGCACUCCCCGGCCCUCACAAGCACUGGUUUUUUAUAGAUGGUUCUUUUUUUCCAGUCACUUUUAAAACAGCACAGGUUUUUUUCAUGUUGAUUUUAAUCUGUGUCUGUUUUAACCAUGUACAAAGCACAAUUGUCUUGGUGUUUUUAAAUGUAUUUUAAAUGCUUUUAAAACAAAAUGUAUGUCUGUAUGCAUGAAUGUCAUCUUUAAAAGAAAUGUAAAAUGAAUGAAAAAACGAAUGGGUGUAAAUGUAAAAAAAUGUAAAAUCUCAAUAAAAGAGUAUUUUACUAAAGAAA